UUUUUUUUUUUUUUUUGUGUGUGUAACAUGAUCUAGUUUUAAUGUGUGUGAGGCUAUAUAUAUAUAUAUAUAUAUUUGAGUUUUUGAAUGCUCUAUGGCGCUUUGGACUGCAUUUUUUUCUUGGCUUUUCUGCUCUCGAUGACAAUGUCUGCUCUGCUGGCUUCUAUCAUUAUGGUCUUUUCUAAGUAAAAAAAUGCAGUCC
rnacentral:misc_RNA from 1 species